ensembl:lncRNA
CAUCACACGGCUCGAAGUGGCUGAUGGGACAGUGCCUGCAGGCUCCCCCCUUCCCCACAGAAACUAUCUCCCAGCUCCAGGCACACAGGCCUCAUCCCAGACACACGAGGGACAUGGUAAAGUGCUGAAAGCAAAUCCGGAAGCAGCCUGGGGACCUCAYGCAGCCCUGGAGGGGCCCUGGCUGCCCCCAGGAUGAUGAGAAACGCCACCGACACCGCCCCAAGGUCCAGGCARUGCAAGGGAAAUUCCCCACAGCCCUGCGAACAGCACUGGGUUCCCUGGGAACCGCAGGGACACCAAAGUACGAGGGACUUGGGGACCAGCUCCCAGCACCACACGCAAUGUGUAACCUCCUCCCCUGGGCAUCAUCUUCAGGCAAAGCGAUGGCAGGAACCACAGACAUGAGUGCAAAGAAUAAAGCAACUGUUUAUUGUUUUACUGAACAGAAACRACACCUGGGCGCGAGUCUGCCAUGCUUCCCCUUAUCCUGUGACACCUGSAGAGUCAUGACCACACCAGUGUUCAUCCAUCCGUYGGGGAAGGGUCAGCUCCUGCUGCUGCCCCUGACGUGGCAGGUUUCUGAGUAGUCAACAACCUACCCCCUCUGCUUUUUCCUUCAGGGAUAGGAUCCAGCUCUGAGAGUUGAGAGGAAAAUGCCUGAUGUCGCCUGCCUGUGCUUCUGCCCUACCCCAGACUACAGCCCUGCAGGACACUUUCACAGCGCUCAGCUCGCCCGUCACAUCGCCAGUCUCGGUGUGAUGGGCCUGCGCCGCAUGAAACCCAGACCUCAGGAGGAAUGGGCUUUCCCUUUUUGGGCGAUGGAGACAGCUCUCAGUUGCUUCCAUUUGAUUUCAUUACUUCAGCUUGCUUACGUUUUUCUGGUCUCUUCUACUUCAGCCAUGGCAAUUAAUGUAAAAAAUUUCUCUUACACUUGGAUGCUGGCCUCACAGCUGAUGACCAAAAUGAACACCUGGAUCACUAGGUCUAGCUGCUUCUCUUCAAGAUGUCCCCCUUCAGUCAACUACCCUGCCAAACAAACCAAGAAGACCGAUGAGGCCGUGAGGGUAUCAGAUCUUUGGACCACUUCUUCAAGGCUUUCUGGGUGAUUGACGUAACCGCUUCUCUUCACGUUACUCAAAGCCAUGUUCAUCUAUUACCUAAAACUAAACUGCUUCUAUUUUAAGAGGGGAUUGUUGUUUGUUUAAACUUUACAUAUAGUCCAUACCUGCUAUGCAUCAUCUCUAGUCCCUUCUGCUUUCACAACACUUCUGGUAAUUAAAGGUGGGAAUUAAUAGCACCCAUUGUCCUAUGGGCUGGAGUAAGACAUUUCUCCUGCUCUGAGGAGGUGCCUAAAACCCAUGUUUUUUCCUAUAGUACAUUUGGGGCUUCCCAGAGCCCUUCAGUGUUCUCUUAGGCUUUUCUUGAACCUUUUAUUUUUUUAGGUUAUUCCAUAGCCUGCAAUUUUGUCUUAAUAUUCUCCUUAAGCAUUGUGCACAGCAUGAUUAUCCCAGACCAGCCAUAUUUAGAGAGUCCUCUUGCACGCAUAGAGGGUUCUGAGAUGUGGCUCAGAAGAAAAGCAGAAAAUAUCUGGUUGUCAGAUAUUUUCCCCAUCAACAUCCUUCACCAAGAGAUGGUGUAAAUGACCUUUUCUCUAAAAUUGGACUGAGUCAAGGGGGAGAUGCAGAUCACAGCCGAUAUUUAUUAGAACACUUUUUGUAAAUUAAUCUGCUACUGUUAAUAAAACUAAGCUGUUAUUACCUACUGCUAAUACU